GGGCGCAUGGCCUAAUGGUAAGGCGUCAGAUUUCGGCUCUGAAGACUGCGUGUUCGAAUCGCGCUGUGCUCG